GGCUCGUUGGUCUAGGGGUAUGAUUCUCGCUUUGGGUGUAAGAGGUCCCGGGUUCAAAUCCUGGACGAGCCC
rfam:Salmo salar isolate Sally breed double haploid chromosome ssa15, whole genome shotgun sequence.